rnacentral:rRNA from 1 species
CCUACGGGUGGCAGCAGUGGGGAAUAUUGGACAAUGGGCGCAAGCCUGACCCAGCAACGCCGCGUGAAGGAUGAAGGUCUUCGGAUUGUAAACUUCUGUUGAGAGGGAAGAAGAAUGAUGGUACCUCGUUAGAAAGACCCGGCUAACUAAGUGCGAGCAGUCGCGGUAAUACGUAGGGGGCAAGCGUUGUCCGGAAUGACUGGGCGUAAGGGGAGUGCAGGCGGCCUUGUACGUUAGAUGGGAAAUCCUGCGGCUUACCCGGAGAACUGCAUCGAAGACUGUGAGGCUAGAGUGCAGGAGAGGUGAGUGGAAUUCCUGGUGUAGCGGUGGAAUGCGUAGAUAUUAGGAAGAACACCAGAGGCGAAGGCGACUCUCUGGGCUGUAACUGACGCUGAGGCUCGAAAGCGUGGGGAGCAAACAGGAUUAGAUACCCGAGUAGUC